ACCUACAUGAACGCAAAUACGCAAUACAUCCACAGUCCAUACUCCAGACAGAAACAGCCGAAUUCAGAAAUCCGGAGUUCGGGUAUCUCGAGCUAAUUAUUUCAUUCAAUCCCUAGAAGGAGAUCCAAAGAGAGGUUUGGUUUAUGGUUUAUGAUUAUCUGUUUUAGAAUUUCUUAAACCCUAGAAGGAGCGAAGUACCUCGAGAGGUGACUAGGGUUUGUCUGCUGCAUCCUGCAUCCUGCAUCCUGCAUCCUGGACGAUGAAAUAGUGCUUAUUUUUAUCUCAAUAAAUCGGGGAUAUGUCGAAGAGGAAAUUCGGCUUCGAAGGUUUUGGCAUAAACAGGUCGGCUACCUACAAUUUUGAGAGAUCCCAGGCUCCCCAGAGAUUAUAUGUUCCUCCUUCAUCCCGUUCCGCCGGCCAUGAUAACUAUGAAGAUCACGACCUUGACAACAUCGAGUAUGAUGAGAGGGAUGACCGCAACGAUGCUCCUAAUGAUCAGAGCGGUGGUGCUGAUGAUGGGGAGAUUGACCCCCUUGAUGCGUUCAUGGAGGGAAUUCACGAAGAGAUGAGGGCGGCGCCUCCCCCGAAGGCUAAAGAGAAGGCAGAUAAGUUCGGGGAUGAUGACGAGGAUGACCCGAUUGAGAUCUUCUUGAGGGCAAAGAAGGAUGUGGGUUUGACUCUGGCUUCGGAAGCCCUUCAUGCUGGCUAUGAUUCGGAUGAGGAGGUGUAUGCGGUAGCUAAGGCUGUAGAUGCUGGGAUGAUUGAGUACGAUUCAGAUGAUAGUCCUGUGGUUGUCGAUAAGAAGAAGAUUGAGCCGAUUCCAGCUCUGGACCAUAGUUCUAUAGACUAUGAGGCAUUUAACAAGGAUUUUUAUGAAGAGAAAGCUUCCAUUUCAGGAAUGAGUGAGCAGGAUGUUACUGAGUAUCGGAAAAGUUUGGCUAUACGUGUGUCGGGCUUUGAUGUACCCAAGCCUAUUAAGACAUUUGAGGACUGUGGAUUUUCUCCCCAACUAAUGAGUGCUAUCAAAAAACAAGCUUAUGAGAAACCAACACCGAUACAGUGCCAGGCUUUACCAAUUGUGCUUUCUGGAAGGGAUAUCAUUGGUAUUGCAAAAACGGGUUCCGGAAAAACUGCUGCUUUUGUGCUUCCUACGAUUGUGCAUAUCAUGGACCAGCCUGAACUUGAGAAAGAAGAGGGUCCAAUUGGAGUGAUAUGUGCACCUACUAGAGAACUAGCACACCAGAUAUACUUGGAAUCCAAGAAAUUUGCAAAGUCCCAUGGAAUACGUGUUUCUGCAGUCUAUGGCGGAAUGUCUAAACUCGAUCAGUUUAAAGAAUUGAAGGCAGGCUGUGAGAUAGUUGUUGCUACUCCAGGAAGAUUGAUAGACAUGCUAAAGAUGAAGGCUCUCACAAUGUUUAGAGCCACCUACUUGGUUCUUGAUGAGGCUGAUCGGAUGUUUGACCUUGGGUUUGAACCACAAAUAAGGUCUAUUGUAGGUCAGAUUAGACCGGACCGUCAAACAUUGCUGUUUUCAGCAACAAUGCCUCGCAAAGUUGAAAAGCUAGCUAGGGAAAUUCUAACUGAUCCUGUAAGAGUUACAGUGGGUGAAGUGGGAAUGGCAAAUGAGGAUAUUACUCAAAUUGUUCAUGUAAUUCCUUCUGAUGCUGAAAAGAUGCCUUGGCUGCUUGAGAAGCUUCCUGGAAUGAUCGAUGAAGGAGAUGUUCUAGUCUUUGCUUCAAAAAAAGCUACAGUAGAUGAGAUUGAAUCCCAGCUGGUUCAAAGGGGUUUCAAAGUUGCAGCUCUCCAUGGUGACAAAGAUCAGGCUUCUCGCAUGGACACUUUGCAGAAAUUUAAAUCUGGAAUUUACCAUGUUCUUGUUGCAACUGAUGUUGCUGCUCGUGGGCUUGACAUCAAAUCAAUUAAAUCGGUUGUGAACUUUGAUAUUGCAAGAGAUAUGGAUAUGCAUGUUCAUCGUAUUGGUAGAACGGGUCGAGCUGGAGAUAAAGAUGGUAUUGCAUAUACUCUUAUCACACAGAAAGAGGCACGCUUUGCAGGUGAGUUGGUCAACAGUUUGAUUGCUGCUGGACAGAAUGUGUCUGUGGAACUGAUGGAUCUUGCUAUGAAGGAUGGGAGAUUCAGAUCCAAACGUGAUGCCAGAAAAGGAUCCAGUGGGAAACGAGGAGGAGGGAGGGGAAAAGGAAGUGGUGGCCGAGGUGUCCGUGGUGUGGAUUAUGGCCUUGGUAUUGGAUAUAAUCCAGAGUCGGCAAAUACACCAUCUCAAUCUGUUCCAAGUCGAUCGUCUGCUGUCAAUGCCCUAAGGACAGGAAUGAUGGCACAGUUCAAAAGCAACUUUGUAGCUGCAAAAUCGGAUUCUCAAAAUAGUAGCUUCUCAAGCGCAAACGUGAGCAAGAGGCCAGUCUUGCCUGGAUUUGUCUCUGGUGGUUCAAUAGGUGGAGAUGCAAACAGAACUCAGACAACAACUUCAUUCAAUCCUACUCCAUCAGGUGGACAAACCACUUCUGGGAGUUCCAAAGAAAAUGGAAGUCAGAAGAAAAUGGAAAGUUCUGGAGAUAGGCCUAGAGAAAGGCGGAGGCCCUCUGGUUGGGAUCGUUGAUUUAUGCAAUUGAUGGAUAUUGCUCCUGCAUGUGACCAAGUAGUGUUCUCUCCUAAGAUAAAUUGUGGAAACAUAGUAAACCUCAGGUCUUCAGCAAGAAUGGGCUUAUUCUGCCAAACUUCACACUGGAGUUCAUGGUACAUUGGCAGGUAUUGUUGUUUUAAGUGGGUUCUACUGUAAUGGUCGAUAACCAAUUAGCAUGUAAGAGUGACUUUGAUGCCCUAAUCCUUUUUUUUUUACAACUCAUUAGGCAAUUGUAACUUAAGAGUGAAAAAUGGAGACUUUAUGAUACCCUAACUCUGGAAGAAGAGAUGAGGAAGUUUCUCUGUAUGUGAUGAAGGGCGUGUCUGUGUGUAUUCUUCUCUUUUCCUCAUGGUUUACGGAAGGUCAUUGCAAAAAUGUUCGGUGCAAUUGUAAAUGUUGGGUUCAUAAAAUUGCUGAGUUUGUUUGAUUUUGCAA